UGGUGGGCCAAAUCCUUUCCAAGAAAUUGCCAGCAAAAAAACACAAUUUAAGAAACUGAAGAUGGACCGAUCUAGCUCUGGAAACAAACCAUUCAGGAUAUGAACUCGUUAACAUGUGGAGCCACACGAUUUGUCAACAUGCUGUCAGAUUGUAUGUAGCAAUUAUUGCUGUGUUAACAAGUUCUGUAAUUUUUGUUUUUGCUUUAUUUAUUGAAAGGGGGAGACUGAAUCUGCGGAGAGAUACAAGGAUGAGAGACUUUGGGAUAGAUGUGUUGUUAGAAGACCAAGCUAUAAUGGUUUGCAUGUUUAGUAA
rnacentral:misc_RNA from 1 species